GCCGGGUGCGGUGGCAUGUGCCUGUAAUCCAAGUCACUGGGAGGCUGAGGUUGGUGGAUCAAGUGAGCUGAGGAGCUCUGGGCUGCAGCACUGUAAGUCGAACGGGUGUCCACGCUAAGUUCGGUAUCGAUAUGGUGUUCCAGGGGGAGCCCGGGACCACCAGGUUGUCUAAGGAGGGGUGAACCGUGUCAGGUUGGAAACGAAGCAUGUAAAUCCCCCGUGCUGUCCAGUAGUGGGAUAAUACCUGUGAGUAGAUGCUGCAGUGCAGCCUUGGCAAAACAUUGAGACCUAAUCUUUU
rnacentral:SRP_RNA from 1 species